rnacentral:rRNA from 1 species
CAGUAGCCGCGGUAAUACGAAGGGGGCUAGCGUUGCUCGGAAUCACUGGGCGUAAGGGGUGCGUAGGCGGGUCUUUAAGUCAGGGGUGAAAUCCUGGAGCUCAACUCCAGAACUGCCUUUGAUACUGAAGAUCUUGAGUUCGGGAGAGGUGAGUGGAACUGCGAGUGUAGAGGUGAAAUUCGUAGAUAUUCGCAAGAACACCAGUGGCGAAGGCGGCUCACUGGCCCGAUACUGACGCUGAGGCACGAAAGCGUGGGGAGCAAACAGGAUUAGAUACCCGAGUAGUCCCUGUCUCUUAUAC